GUACCUUGUGGAUCGUAUUGCACAAUUCGCUUUCCAGCGCCCAUUGUCGAGCACUUGCCACGGUCAAUGGCUUAAUCAGUGCUGCAGCCCAGUCCAUGACACCACUGACCUUGUGCCACUUGAAGUCGACCCAGACAGAAGUGAAAACAAAAUCCCUAUUCAAAUUUGUAAGCUACACUGGCAAUGGGACUCAGUCUAAGACUGGGACUGGAACUGGGACUGAGACUGGGACUGCGACUGGGGCUGGAACUGUUGCCAUUCCCUGCCUGGCCACAUGUCUGACUUGAACUUGAAGUGCGGAACCAGAUGUAAAAAUGCGAGCGAGAAACGAGGCAAUCCAGCUACCGAUGGAAAAGUGAAAAACAAUCUUAAAAUUGUGCAAUAAAAGUUUAAAGAAUAAAAACAAAAGGAUCGACAUAAAAUUGACGAAAAGAAAGAAAGAAGUUAAUUAAGACUGAGUCGAAAAAAAGUGUUGGUGUUUUGUUGGCGUGAUCGUGCAGUUAUUGCCCCAUAAACUCGCCCACAAAUAUUUAAAAAAGUUUAUUGCAUUUGCAA